rnacentral:misc_RNA from 1 species
AACAUCGCGCACCUGCGGGAACCUGCGGAAGGAUCAUUACAGAGUUGCAAGACUCCCUAAACCAUUGUGAACCUACCUUCUACCGUUGCUUCGGCGGGCGGGCCCAGCGCCCCCCCGGCCCCCCGCGGGCGCCCGCCGGAGGAUACCCAAACUCUUGACAUUAGUGGCCUCUCUGAGUAUUCUUUACUGAAUAAGUCAAAACUUUCAACAAUGGAUCU